GUCACUGUUGCUUAGUUGAUCAACUUCUUUGUCUAGUAAACAAAUCCUGAUCCUGGGGACAAAUCCCAGCAGUGACC